AUUGAACGCUGGCGGCAGGCCUAACACAUGCAAGUCGAACGAGUGGCGGACGGGUGAGUAAUGUCUGGGAAACUGCCUGAUGGAUGGGGAUAACUACUGGAAACGGUAGCUAAUCCCGCUUACCAUCGGAUGUGCCCAGAUGGGAUUAGCUAGUAGGUGGGGUAAAGGCUCACUUAGGCUACGAUCCCUAGCUGGUCUGAGAGGAUGACCAGCCACACUGGAACUGAUACACGUGCCAGACUCCCACGGUAGGGAGCGGUGGGGAAUAUGGCACAAUGGGCGCAAGCCGGAUGCAGCCAAGCCGCGUGUGUGAAGAAGGCCGUCAGGUUGUAAAGUACUUUCAGCGGGGAGGCGUUACCCGCAGAAGAAGCACCGGCUAACUCCGUGCCAGCAGCCGCGGUAAUUC
rnacentral:rRNA from 1 species